GACGAACGCUGGCGGCGUGCUUAACACAUGCAAGUCGAACGGACAGGCCCUGCCUUUGUGGGGUGCUCGAGUGGCGAACGGGUGAGUAACACGUGAGUAACCUGCCCUUGACUUUGGGAUAACUUCAGGAAACUGGGGCUAAUACCGGAUAGGAGCUCCUGCUGCAUGGUGGGGGUUGGAAAGUUUCGGCGGUUGGGGAUGGACUCGCGGCUUAUCAGCUUGUUGGUGGGGUAGUGGCUUACCAAGUCUUUGACGGGUAGCCGGCCUGAGAGGGUGACCGGCCACAUUGGGACUGAGAUACGGCCCAGACUCCUACGGGAGGCAGCAGGGGAGAAUAUUGCACAAUGGGCGGAAGCCUGAUGCAGCAACGCCGCGUGCGGGAUGACGUCCUUCGAGUUGUAAACCGCUUUCGCCUGUGACGAAGCGUGAGUGACGGUAAUGGGUAAAGAAGCACCGGCUAACUACGUG
rnacentral:rRNA from 1 species